GACGAACGCUGGCGGCGUGCCUAAUACAUGCAAGUUGAGCGAUGAAGAUUGGUGCUUGCCCCAAUUUGAAGAGCAGCGAACGGGUGAGUAACGCGUGGGGAAUCUGCCUUUGAGCGGGGGACAACAUUUGGAAACGAAUGCUAAUACCGCAUAACAACUUUAAACAUAAGUUUUAAGUUUGAAAGAUGCAAUUGCAUCACUCAAAGAUGAUCCCGCGUUGUAUUAGCUAGUUGGUGAGGUAAAGGCUCACCAAGGCGAUGAUACAUAGCCGACCUGAGAGGGUGAUCGGCCACAUUGGGACUGAGACACGGCCCAAACUCCUACGGGAGGCAGCAGUAGGGAAUCUUCGGCAAUGGACGAAAGUCUGACCGAGCAACGCCGCGUGAGUGAAGAAGGGUUUCGGAUCGUAAAACUCUGUUGGUAGAGAAGAACGUUGGUAAGAGUGGAAAGCUCAUCAAGUGACGGUAACUACCCAGAAAGGGACGGCUAACUACGUG
rnacentral:rRNA from 1 species